rnacentral:rRNA from 1 species
GCUAGUAAUGGCAGGUCAGCAUACUGCCGUGAAUACGUUCCCGGGCCUUGUACACACCGCCCGUCACACCAUGAGAGUUGGAAAUACCCGAAGCCUGUGAGCUGACCUUUGGGGGCAGCAGUCGAAGGUAGAGCCAAUGAUUGGGGUGAAGUCGUAACAAGGUACC